rnacentral:rRNA from 1 species
CAAGACCUUGCGCUUUUAGAGCGGGCGAUGCCUGAUUAGCUAGUUGGUGAGGUAAAGGCUUACCAAGGCUUCGAUCAGUAGCUGGUCUGAGAGGACGACCAGCCACACUGGGACUGAGACGCGGCCCAGACUCCUACGGGGGGCAGCAGUGGGGAAUUUUGGACAAUGGGGGGAAACCCUGAUCCAGCCAUGCCGCGUGAGUGAAGAGGGCCUUCGGGUUGUAAAGCCCUGUCAGCCGGAACGAAACGGUCACGGCUAAUACCUGUGAUCACUGCCGGUACCGGAAGCAGAAGCGCCGGCUAACUACGUGCCAGCAGCCGCGGUAAUACGUAGGGUGCGAGCGUUAAUCGGAAUUACUGGGCGUAAAGCGUGCGCAGGCGGUUUUGUAAGUCAGAUGUGAAAUCCCCGGGCUUAACCUGGGAACU